rnacentral:rRNA from 1 species
UACGGGAGGAGCGAAUGUUAUCCUACUUGACUGGGUGUAAAGGGUCCUACGACGGUAAAUUGUGUUUGUCGUGAAAUCCCGAGCACAACUUUCAAAAAGUUUUCAAGACUGAUUUACUUGAGUUAAGGAAAAGAUAAUAGAAGUUUUCAUGGAAGGAUAAAAUCCGGUAAUAUGAAAGCGAAUACCAGCGGCGAAGGCGAUUAUCUAGCUUAAACUGACGUUCAAGGACGAAAGGGUAGGGAGCGAACAGGAUUAGAGACCCUGUGAGUCUACCCCCUAAAAUAUGGGUGCCGGCUUUUAAAGUUAUUUUUAGAGGCUCAGUUUACGCGUUAAGCGCCCCACCUGGGAAGUACGAUCGCAAGAUUGAAACUCAAAGGAAUUGGCGGGGACCCGCACAAGCGGUGGAGCAUGUGGUUUAAUUCGAUGCAACGCGAAGAACCUUACCUGGGCUUGACAUGUCCGGAAUCCUGCAGAGAUGCGGGAGUGCCCUUCGGGGAAUCGGAACACAGGUGCUGCAUGGCCGUCGUCAGCUCGUGUCGUGAGAUGUUGGGUUAAGUCCCGCAACGAGCGCAACCCUUGUCCUUAGUUGCCAGCGGUUCGGCCGGGCACUCUAGGGAGACUGCCGGUGACAAACCGGAGGAAGGUGGGGAUGACGUCAAGUCCUCAUGGCCUUUAUGUCCAGGGCUACACACGUGCUACAAUGGCGCGUACAGAGGGACGCCAAACCGCGAGGUGGAGCAGACCCCAGAAAGCGCGUCGUAGUUCGGAUUGCAGUCUGCAACUCGACUGCAUGAAGUCGGAAUCGCUAGUAAUCGCGGAUCAGCAUGCCGCGGUGAAUACGUUCCCGGGCCU